rnacentral:rRNA from 1 species
GGCUAUAGCCAUACCACCCUGAACAUGUCUGAUCUCAUCAGAUCUCAGAAGAUAAGCAAGAUCUGGCCUGGUUAGUACUUGGAUGGGAAACUACCUGGGAAUACUGGGUGAUGUACGCU